GGCUUCUGAUCUGCCAGUGACGUCUGUGGAGAGGGCUGGCAGCGGGGAUACAACCUUUGGAACAGAACGAAUCAAAGUAUUGCUACAGCUGAACUUACUAUGACCGUCAGCUACCAGGAAGUGGUUUCUUGUUUUGAUGAGAAAUGACAGAUCUGCUUGUCUUCUGGCGGGGAAAUGUUACAUGCUUGUGAUAAGUGAAAUACACUGUAUAGUUUAUGCAUGAAAAAAAAGGUGAAUACUGUUUGUUACUUCUUUAAAAACAAUGUUUGUCUUUCAGGUGACUGAGAAGAAUCUAUCAAGUUGGAUCCUUUAUCAUCAAUGAUACUGCAUUGAGGCAGAGGGAACAUAAAUGCAGUUAAAAGGGAUCUUGAUAGAUCUUGGGCUACAUAGCCUGAUACUCCUUGAACAGCUCCAAAACUGGAAGAGUUGUGUCUUCCUCCCAUCUGUGAAUUUUGACAGAGACAAGUUUUGACUAAUACUGGCUUCACUGAAAUCAGGAUAGAACGAUGAAGAAUUCAGCAUCUCUCUUAAUUUUAAGACAAGUUGUUAUUGUUACAAUUAUGUUUAAAAAAAAAAGGAAGAAAAAUAUUUAAUACGUAGCAGUGUGAGUAAGAAGCUGAAUCUUACUACCUGGCCUCAAUCAUAGAGUAAGAUUACCAAAGAUUACUAUUGCAGAGCAAGGGUCAAUAUGCACUUGUGAAUAGUCAAUAUCACACAUAGGGAUAUAUUCGUCUUCUGUCUGUCAUUUUAAAAUAAGAUUCUUUAAUGAGUGUUCAGUGAGGUUGCUCUUCCCAAAGCAAACCUUCAUGGAAGAGCAGGAAAUUGCACUAUGUGGUUAGUGUAUAAAGUAGCUCAUUUUUGCUAGCUGUAGGGUAUUGUAAAAUAUAAGCUGUUUUUAUUUAAACUAAACUAAUUUUAUUUAAAAUACCUUCUGUUCGUUUACUUGAAAGCUGUAUCCCCAGUCUCAUUAAGAAGAGUUUAAUGAGGUAAAAAUCCAUUUAAAAUGAGAGGGGUUUUCCAUAUAUAUUUGCAAUAUAAAUGGAUUGUUAAGUAAAAUGGAUUUUACUACAGUCUGAGCAAAUUAUGUAAUCAGAUUAUAAAGGAAUAUUAAUAUAUAAGGAUAUUGAUUGUUUUUUUGGUGCAGGGCCAUUAUUUACACCAGGACGUGAUGGCGAACAUUUAUUCAUGUGCAAGUUUCAACACAAAUGCCUGUGAAACAGUACAUAGAAAAAAUUGUUUGACAUCAUCAUUUAUUCAUGGAUUCUUGGUGGAAUUAUGUAAUAUUUUCAUUGGGAAGCCAAAUUAAUUCGCCACAUCUUGAAUUUUUUUAAUCUUAAGGGUCGAUCAUUAGAUUAAGGGCCUCUCUUUGUACGCCCAAGAAUGACAGUAAAUUUGUUGGUUAAAUUUUAGGUGUGAAUUUGAUUGUGGGUUUUGUAUAGAAAAAAAACCUCUUGGCAUCUAAAGAAUAUAUCCAUGCAUAAAAUAUAUUGAUAUUUUUAUCAGUUACUAUAUAAAGACAUUUUGCUACGUG